rnacentral:rRNA from 1 species
GACGGGGCCCGCACAAGCGGUGGAGCAUGUGGUUUAAUUCGAAGCAACGCGAACGAACCUUACCAGGUCUUGACAUCCCCUGACAACCCGAGAGAUCGGGCGUUCCCCCUUCGGGGGGACAGGGUGACAGGUGGUGCAUGGUUGUCGUCAGCUCGUGUCGUGAGAUGUUGGGUUAAGUCCCGCAACGAGCGCAACCCUCGACCUUAGUUGCCAGCAUUCAGUUGGGCACUCUAAGGUGACUGCCGGCUAAAAGUCGGAGGAAGGUGGGGAUGACGUCAAGUCCUCAUGGCCCUUAUGGGUAGGGCUUCACACGUCAUACAAUGGUCGGUACAGAGGGUUGCCAACCCGCGAGGGGGAGCUAAUCCCACAAAGCCGAUCGUAGUCCGGAUCGCAGUCUGCAACUCGACUGCGUGAAGUCGGAAUCGCUAGUAAUCGUGGAUCAGCAUGUCACGGUGAAUACGUUCCCGGGUCUU